UAGCUUUUGUUUAUCAUGGAAUGAUCUUAUUUCAUCGUCAAAUUUGAAGACCACCAUCAACUCAGCCUGUGUGUUUGAAAGACCUUCUCACUGAAGCACAUUUUUGCUCCAAGCCAGUCAGCAAAUGAGAGACCGCAGGACAAGCCCUGUACAAACACGCACGCCUUGAGAAGAGCCUGGUUCUGGCAGUUGUUGCGCUUUCUGACCAGAAGAAAGACCUAAACCUGUUGAGGAGCAUGGAACAUCAAUGCCAAAAUGGAUCAUAGAUUUUCUUAAAACAACUGACUGGAGGAUGAGAUGCAGGAGGGAAGCAAGAGUCCAGACAGAUCAUGAGCCAGCAUUUGGAUCUGAGGAAUUCAAUCCAUUCAGGAUGCAAGUGUGGUGACUAUGGCCUCUGCCUCCUUCCUGAAGAUGCAAACUGCUUCCCUCUGCCAUGUUCUUCUGC